CCCUUAGAUGCUCUGGGCCGCACGCGCGCUACACUGGUCGAUGCAACGAGUUUCUUUCCUUGGCCGACAGGCCUGGGCAAUCUUUGAACAUCGAUCGUGAUCGGGAUAGAUUCUUGUAAUUUUUGAUCUUAAACGAGGAAUUCCUAGUAAACGCAAGUCAUCAGCUUGCAUUGAUUACGUCCCUGCCCUUUGUACACACCGCCCGUCGCACCUACCGAUUGAAUGGUCCGGUGAAUAAUUCGGACUGCAGCAGUGCUUGGUCCUCCGGGCUUUGCAGCGGAAAGUUUAGUGAACCUUAUCACUUAGAGGAAGGAGAAGUCGUAACA
rnacentral:rRNA from 1 species